AAUACCAGCACCACGAGGAGCAGGGACCAUACGGACGGUGACAGAGCCACACUUUCCGGUGACCUUGCAAGGAACAGUAUGGGGCUUUCCAAUCUUGUUACCCCAAUAACCCCUCCUAACAGGAAUCACCGACAACUUAGCCAGUAUAAUCGAACCACGAAUAGCAGUUGCCACCUCUUUGCUGCACUUAACUCCCAAUCCGACAUGGCCAUUACCGUCGCCGACGACAACGAAGGCCUUAAACCUAGUUCUCUGCCCAGCUCGGGUCUGUUUCUGCACAGGCAUGAUCUUCAUGACCUCAUCCUUGAGGCUGGGGCCAAUGAGAGUAUCGACGAUCUGGUGCUCCUUGAUUGGGAGAGAGUGAAGGUAAAUCUGCUCGAGUGACUGAAUCUUGCCUUCCUUGACGAGACGGCCAAGCUUGGUGACUGGAACCCACUUCUCCUCUUCGUCACGGCGGCCUGCACGACGGCGUCCACGGCCACGAUCGCCACCACGGCCUCUACCACCGAAGCCUCUGCCGAAGCCGCCGCGGUCUCCUCCUCCUCUUUCAGCCAUGAUUAGGGUUAGCGAAGAAGCGGCAGGGGAAAAUGAGAGAGAUUGG
rnacentral:misc_RNA from 1 species